AUGCAGGAGCCACUCCCGCGCUCACUUGUUAUUCCUGGGAAAACGGCAGAAACUCCUGUGUGCUUGCUUGAAUGCUCAGCGUUGUUUUUCAGCGAACGCGUCUGGACGUCCCUUUAUCGGGGUGUUUCGACUUACAAAGAUGAUUUCUUUCCUGCUCCGAAGAUGGGGCUGGUUACCGUGGAUCGACUGCUGGAGGAUGGCGUAGCCCUGUCUCUUUCGGAAGGCCCCGCUGUGAAGUCCUCGCCUGCCGCUGCGUUAGCUGCCGCCCACAGGUCAGAACUCCCAUGGACAUUCCUGUGAAUUCAUGUGAUGACGGAAAUCGUGUAUGUGUGCAUACCAUUUUAAUAUAUGACUUUGUUUUAUGAAAUAGUUACUUAAUUAUCUAUUUAUUUAUUCUAAAGUCAGAACUACAUCUACGUUAUCUGAUAUUAAUAUAACAAAAUCUGCUUUUCCCUAAUCUCAUCGUGAUGUGUAAUUGUCCACUUUGUUUCUAUAUUUGAGGUGAGUUUCCUGUAAACAGUAAAUAAUUGAGCUUUGCUUUUCUAUCUACCCUGAAAUCUCUGUCCCUUGGUUGGUGUGUGUGUAUCGGUAUAUUUAAAGUGCACUCGUGUGUUGAGAGUUAGGACUCACUUCAAUCACUAAUAUUUCCAUCGACAGUUCUGAGGAAGACUCCUUCCCAUUCCAGAGGAUUCUGCUUCCCGUGGACCUACGCCCCACACCAGGGCUUCCUGGGUCUGCAGACCAAGGGCAGGUGCAGAACUGAAGGCGGGCGGGGUCAGGGGGGCUCUCCAUCACAGCUGGAGCAAGGGGUUAGCCCAGCUCGGGUCGGCCACGCCCCCUGCUUGCAUCCCACCUCCUGCUCCCGGCUCCAGGUUCCCGCCAAGCAGCACGAAGGCCGGCACAGGGGAGGCUGCACUUGGGGAAGAGCAGGACUCAGGUCCAGGCUCCCUCUGUUCCAGCUGUGUGGGAAUUUGGGAAGUGAGCCAGCAGGCAGGGGCUGUCUUGUCUGUCUCUUUCUGUCUCGCAAGUAAAUCAAUUAAACAUAAUAAUAAAACGA
rnacentral:lncRNA from 1 species